ACAGGGAUUGCCCUAGUAACGGCGAGUGAAGCGGCAACAGCUCAAAUUUGAAAUCUGGCGUCUUCGGCGUCCGAGUUGUAAUUUGCAGAGGGCGCUUUGGCAUUGGCAGCGGUCCAAGUUCCUUGGAACAGGACGUCACAGAGGGUGAGAAUCCCGUACGUGGUCGCUAGCCUUUACCGUGUAAAGCCCCUUCGACGAGUCGAGUUGUUUGGGAAUGCAGCUCUAAAUGGGAGGUAAAUUUCUUCUAAAGCUAAAUACUGGCCAGAGACCGAUAGCGCACAAGUAGAGUGAUCGAAAGAUGAAAAGCACUUUGGAAAGAGAGUUAAAAAGCACGUGAAAUUGUUGAAAGGGAAGCGCUUGCAGCCAGACUUGCCUGUAGUUGCUCAUCCGGGUUUCUACCCGGUGCACUCUUCUAUAGGCAGGCCAGCAUCAGUUUGGGCGGUUGGAUAAAGGUCUCUGUCAUGUACCUCUCUUCGGGGAGAACUUAUAGGGGAGACGACAUGCAACCAGCCUGGACUGAGGUCCGCGCAUCUGCUAGGAUGCUGGCGUAAUGGCUGUAAGCGGCCCGUCUUGAAACACGGACCAAGGAGUCUAACAUCUAUGCGAGUGUUUGGGUGUCAAGCCCGAGCGCGUAAUGAAAGUGAACGGAGGUGGGAACCUUUCGGGGUGCACCAUCGACCGAUCCUGAUGUCUUCGGAUGGAUUUGAGUAAGAGCAUAGCUGUUGGGACCCGAAAGAUGGUGAACUAUGCUUGAAUAGGGUGAAGCCAGAGGAAACUCUGGUGGAGGCUCGCAGCGGUUCUGACGUGCAAAUCGAUCGUCAAAUUUGGGCAUAGGGGCGAAAGACUAAUCGAACUAUCUAGUAGCUGGUUCCUGCCGAAGUUUCCCUCAGGAUAGCAGUAACGUUUUCAGUUUUAUGAGGUAAAGCGAAUGAUUAAAGGGCUGGGGGUUGAAACAACCUUCACCUAUUCUCAAACUUUAAAUAUGUAAGAAGUCCUUGUUACUUGAUUGAACGUGGACAGUUGAAUGUAUCGUUACUAGUGGGCCAUUUUUGGUAAGCAGAACUGGCGAUGCGGGAUGAACCGAACGCGGGGUUAAGGUGCCAGAAUGCACGCUCAUCAGACACCACAAAAGGUGUUAGUUCAUCUAGACAGCAGGACGGUGGCCAUGGAAGUCGGAAUCCGCUAAGGAGUGUGUAACAACUCACCUGCCGAAUGAACUAGCCCUGAAAAUGGAUGGCGCUCAAGCGUGUUACCCAUACCCCGCCGCUGGGGCAGGAUUUAUGCCCCAGCGAGUAGGCAGGCGUGGAGGUCCGUGACGAAGCCUU
rnacentral:rRNA from 1 species